rnacentral:rRNA from 1 species
CCUUAUUGGAGAGUUUGAUCCUGGCUCAGGACGAACGCUGGCGGCGUGCUUAACACAUGCAAGUCGAGCGGUAAGGCCCUUCGGGGUACACGAGCGGCGAACGGGUGAGUAACACGUGGGUAACCUGCCCUGUACUCUGGGAUAAGCCUUGGAAACGAGGUCUAAUACCGGAUA